CACUUCCGCAGCGGUGCCUCUGAGGUCACAGGAAAGCAGCUUCUAACCUGCUGUAUUGUCUCUAAAACCACUACUUGGUUUUGGUGGUACAUUAUAUGGGUCUCAUGAUGGAGCCCUGGCAGGCUUGGGAUUCACUUGACCGACAAGAAUAGACUUGGAAUCACAAAGAUUCUCCUGCAUCUACUUCCCACCGGGAAGCAAGUUCCCAAGUGACAAGGAAGACUACCAGUAUUCCCAGUCUCUAAUUCAGAUGAGUAUAUGCUAAGUAUGGGGAACUGAAGCCCAGAGAGAUUAAGGAACAUGACUAAGGCGGUGGCAGCUAGCAGAGGUCAUGAGCCAAUGAACCACGGCUGCUUUCUCUCCAACAGAAGACCUUUACAUGACCUUUGCAGUAUGGCCAAGAAAGGAGUCCUUGAAUCAUGGGUUAUGGACUGCAGGUCAUCUUCAGUGAAGGUCUCACUGAAACUCAGCCGUCUCUUCUUCAGAAUCUUCCCGUUGCUUGACGUUGCUGAUACUGUCACCCGGCUCUCCUUGAAGGUGAAGUUGGACAUCUUUGACGUUUCAGAGGUUCUCAGAGAUACAAACUGAUCUGUGCAAGUCUCAUGAAGUGAGCCAUAGCUUGCAUCAUAGAAGGAUUUCUGUAAGGAGGAAAAGUGGAACCUGAGAAGUUAUCUAUGCCCUUGAGAUGAGAUUCUUCAGUAGGAUCUGUAUCCUGCAGGCUUAGUGAGAGUGGUCCCCAUUGUGCUUCCUCCCUCCCUCCCUCCCUUCCUCCUAAGCAUCCUCCCAAUGUCCUUCCUUCCUUCCUUCCUUCCUUCCUUCCUUCCUUCCUUCCUUCCUUCCUUCCUUCCUUCCUUCCCCACUGCAUUCCUUCCUUUUCCUUGCUUGGGUUUUCCUGAAACCAUGUGAUUUUUUUUUUUUUUGAGAAGAAGGUAUUUUUACCCAUCUUUAGGCUCAAAAAUAAAGCAUUUUAAUGAAAUAGAUUAAUAAGCAAUCUUGGUAAGUUAGAUCCUUCUAUUAAGAGGACUAACAUCUACUUGAGAGUGCUCAAAAUAUUUUAGAAAAUACAUUUGGCCCUCUGUUUUGCCUGCCUGCAUCCUCAGAUUCAACCAAUAUUAAGAUUCAAAAUAUUUUCUAGAAAUAAAUGACAUCUAUACUGAA
rnacentral:lncRNA from 1 species